AUUAAAACGCAGAUGAGGAAAGUAGGCUGGCGCCUUUUCAUAUUAGAGAGAACCAUCACCGGCUGAAAGUGGUUUAUGAGAAAUGCCUGCUGAAGUGCCCCUCGGAGUCUCGUGCUGAAACAGAAGUAGGCAUGGGCGGGAACUCCCCGUUACGGAGAUUAAGGGAACAGGUAGUAAAGUAAGUAUAUUAAAUUUACCUGUUAAACAGAGUGGAACCGCGUCUAAUUCAGCGUCUCUGUG
rnacentral:ncRNA from 1 species